UAUUAUUAUCUUUAAAACAAAACUUCUUAAACUAAGAAUGCUUGCGUUCUCAAGAUACUGGGACAUCAGGACACUCCGGGUCUGUUAGUAAACAUUAUUAAUCUGCUCCCUCAACUGUAAACUGUUGUGACUAACAAUCCCUAACUUCCUGGGAAUGCAGCCCAGCAGGCCCCACAGCCUCAUUUUUCCCAGCCCCUAUUCAAGAUGGAGUCACUCUGGUUGGAACGCCUCUGACAGGAGCAGCACCCUGAUGUCUGUCUCCAUCCUCACACGGCGUUCUCCCUGUGUCGGUCUCCAAAUUUCCCCUUUUUAGGACACCAGUCCUAUUGGAUUAGAGCCACCCAAUGACCUCAUUGUAACCUGAUUACCUCUGUGAACACUCUAGCUCCAAAUAGGGCCACCUUCCUCGGUACUGGGAGUUAGGACUCUAAGAUGAAUUUGGGGGGACAUAAUUCCCUAGCCACACCAGUGCUUUUUCCAUGAACCCAGAAACAAUGUAUUUAUGGUGACCAAGAUGGAGGCUAUGCAUGGGCCCAGCAACACAGGCUCGUCUCUUCAGGCUGGUCUGACUAAUCUCACUGCUGGCAACCCUCUCACAGCCCCAGAGAGCGGCACUGAGUGCCCAGUGGCACCUUCCCCGACAGAAAGCAGCCAGCAUCUGGUAGCAGGUGGAUCCUGGUCUCUUCCAUCAUGGAGGGGACACGGACUAACCUUCCUGGAAGGGACACACUUUGCCUCCCUCGCCCAGGGUGUUUCUGCAGCACUGCUGCUCGUAGCCUCACGUGAUGCCUUCUACCAUCAUGGCUUCCACGUAGGGCUGCUUCUGACCAAGGAACCCAUUUCACUGCCAAGGAAAUGCCACAGUGGCUUGUAGCCGUGGAAUCCACUGGUCUUACCAAUUACUCUGUCACCCAGAAGGAGCUAGCCUCAGCAAAAGACUGAGUGGCAGUACCUAGGAAGGAUGGACUCUAUUUUACAGGAUUCCAUAUAUGCUAUGAAUCAGGGACCACCACAUGGUUCUAUUUCCCUUAUGGCCAAAAUGCAUAGCUCCAGGAACCAAGCUGUCACAGGUAGUGACUAACUAGGACCAGUGGCGCAUGCAAUAAAGGAAUUUAUCAAGAGAGUUGUAGGUAAAGACGGGCAGGCUUAUUAGAGAAUGUAGGAAAAUACAUUGCAAGAAAGCAAUGGGCAGAUCAGCCAGAGGGGAGCUGACUGCAAGGAGACAAAGACUCGUGGGGGAUUUUAUAGAACAGUGCUUGUGCUGGAGAGGGCCCCGAGCAGUACGGACAAUGCCAAGGUUGCAGUUAGCUAACUUACAGUUGUCUGUCAGCUGAGGGUCUGGUGAUAAGCUGGGCACAGGAAGAUUGUGAGUUAUUUGCAUAGGAGGGCUCUGUGUGUCCUGGGCCAUGUAGAAAGGCAGACUUACAGCUUACCUGUUUUUUGUUUGUUUUGCUUUUCCUGUUCCCCCCAGCGUGACUCCUUUUCCCUGAUUAGAACUCCAUGCAACCAGCAGAUGUGAGGGGGAUCCACUCACUAUUACACCUAGUAACAACCAACUGGCGGGAUUUUGGCUUCCUGUCGCAGCAACUUUGAGCUCUGCCAAUGUGAAGGUCUUAGUCCCAGAGAGGAACAUCCUUCAACCAGGGGACGCAGCAGUGGUUUCCUUAAAUUGAAAGGUGAUGCUGCCACCUGGCCAUCUGGGGCUCAUUCUGUCAUGUCACCCAAAGACCUAAAACAUGAUUGCUGUCUUGACUGCAGUGAUAGAUUCUGGUUCUCCUGGGAGACCAGGCAGCUGCUCCUAUGUCUGGAAAUCAGGGCAUUCAUUCUCUGCGGCACUUCUGACUACUCCCAUGGCCAAUAGAAAAGGUUCAUGAAAAACUACCCCAGCCAUGGAAAGGCAGGAAAAUUGAGGACUCAGAACCUUCUGAAAUGAAAGUUUUGGUUGUUUCAUCAAGUAAAGAUCAACUAGCUGAGGUCCCAGCUGAGGGUGGGGAAAAUCCAGGAUGAGUGAUGGGAGAAGGAACCGUGGGCAUCAAGUCUCCCGACUGUCACAGAAGCAAGGACUGUAGUAUCUUUGCUUAGUUUUCUUUGCUUGUUUUCUGUACGCGUUUGUUUGCACAUGCCAACCAUGUUCCUGUUUUCUCUAGCCGGCAUCUGCAUUGUAUACACACUUUUUUGGAGGUUAGUGUUACCAUUCUGUUUUCAGGUAACAAGAUAUUCAGUGGACUGUGGUUGAAUUUGUGGUGUAAUUAACAGAGCCAGCAGUGGCUACAGUAACCAUUGGCACCUUGUCCUCACUGUCUUCUCAUUUUGGAGACAGCCUGAAUGCAUCUUCACUUGCGGGAAGGACACAGGUUUUUCCAGAGCACCUGCUGAAGUCGCCAAGGCUGCAUCCUCUCCACCAAGACCUGCAUCCCCAUCCUGGGGAUGGGCACCCUUCGGGGAUGGGCACCCUUCCAGAUCUGCUCCUUCCAUGGAGCUCUGCCUCGACCUAGGGGAUCUCCCAUUCCUUUAUUUUGAGCUUUCUUUAUUCCUCAGUAGCCAGUCCCUUGUUAACCCCAAUCCCCCUGUAACAGUCAGUAACUCCUUAUAGUAAACAUUCCCUGUUCAAGUU